AUUGAACGCUGGCGGCAUGCUUUACACAUGCAAGUCGAACGGUAACAGCACUUCGGUGGCUGACGAGUGGCGAACGGGUGAGUAAUACAUCGGAACGUGCCUAGUAGUGGGGGAUAACUACUCGAAAGAGUAGCUAAUACCGCAUGAGAUCUAAGGAUGAAAGCAGGGGACCUUCGGGCCUUGCGCUACUAGAGCGGCUGAUGGCAGAUUAGGUAGUUGGUGGGAUAAAAGCUUACCAAGCCGACGAUCUGUAGCUGGUCUGAGCGGACGACCAGCCACACUGGAACUGAGACACGGCCCAGACUCCUACGGGAGGCAGCAGUGGGGAAUUUUGGACAAUGGGCGCAAGCCUGAUCCAGCAAUGCCGCGUGCAGGAUGAAGGCCUUCGGGUUGUAAACUGCUUUUGUACGGAACGAAAAGCCCUCUUCUAAUACAGGGGGGUCAUGACGGUACCGUAAGAAUAAGCACCGGCUAACUACGUG
rnacentral:rRNA from 1 species